UUCAAAUUUGAAUUCAAUUAUGAUAUUACUUUCCACAGUGCAACAAACCACUACCACCUGGCAAUGCAUGUCUUUGGUGCCCUCACAACUGCAAGCACUUUAAAAGAACUGGAUGACAUGGUUCAAAGUGCUACAGUUGUCUUCUCCAGUCCAUCAUGUGGUGCAAGUGUUGAGAAGCACUUCAAGAACCUGCAAUCGUGGCAGCAGAAAAAAGGGACUCCGUUGGAUGAGACUACCGAGUCCAGAGGUGAUGCAGAGGACUUGAAGGACAUUACAGGAAGCAACAGAUUUGCAAAACGUUGCAAUGCAAUUAUUUCAAAUGCCCCGCUGGACAAGCAUGGAGAGCUCAAUGUGUACCAAUGCAAAGGGCUUAUCGAUCACCUCAAGAAAUACAUUCUACCAUUUGCUGGAUUAUGGACCGGGAUAAUGCUAGGUGACCUUGGACGACAUGGGACAGGACCACAAUAUGAGCAGUGCUCCAGGAGAUACAAUGCCCUGAGAAACCUUACAAGACAAGUAAUUAUAUAG
ensembl:lncRNA